GACUGUUAUCACAUGAAGAGAGGCCGGGUUCCAGCCCUCCAGGGGAACUGAAUUCUGUUUAGCCCGGUGUGCGUGUCGUGAGUCUUUCUUAUGUGCCUAGCUGUGUGGGAGGCUCAACAUGAAUCAGACACUGUCCCUGACAUUUAGAAGAAAAAUGUACAAACCUGGAGCCACUGGAGCAGAGAGAAAGGAAAGAAAAUCUCUACCGGAGUGGAAGGGCAUCCUGGAAGCCUUCCCAGGAGAGGUGACGCGUGGCCCACGCCUCAAAGGACAACAAUCAGAAUAUCAAACACUUUCUGGACGUGUAUUAGAUGAGAAAACCAAACCAAAGCACAGAGAGGUUGAAUGGCUUACCCAAGUCCAGACAGCUACCAAAUGGCAGAGCCAGGAUUCGAACCCCUGGAAGGCAAAUCAGUUACUGACUGUGAGACCUCUGCCAAGUUAUUUAAU
rnacentral:lncRNA from 1 species